rnacentral:rRNA from 1 species
UGCAGUCGACGGCAGCAUGAUCUAGCUUGCUAGAUUGAUGGCGAGUGGCGAACGGGUGAGUAAUACAUCGGAACGUGCCCUGUAGUGGGGGAUAACUAGUCGAAAGAUUAGCUAAUACCGCAUACGACCUGAGGGUGAAAGUGGGGGACCGCAAGGCCUCAUGCUAUAGGAGCGGCCGAUGUCUGAUUAGCUAGUUGGUGGGGUAAAGGCCCACCAAGGCGACGAUCAGUAGCUGGUCUGAGAGGACGAUCAGCCACACUGGGACUGAGACACGGCCCAGACUCCUACGGGAGGCAGCAGUGGGGAAUUUUGGACAAUGGGCGAAAGCCUGAUCCAGCAAUGCCGCGUGUGUGAAGAAGGCCUUCGGGUUGUAAAGCACUUUUGUCCGGAAAGAAAUCGCUUCGGUUAAUACCUGGAGUGGAUGACGGUACCGGAAGAAUAAGGACCGGCUAACUACGUGCCAGCAGCCGCGGUAAUACGUAGGGUCCAAGCGUUAAUCGGAAUUACUGGGCGUAAAGCGUGCGCAGGCGGUUGUGCAAGACCGAUGUGAAAUCCCCGAGCUUAACUUGGGAAUUGCAUUGGUGACUGCACGGCUAGAGUGUGUCAGAGGGGGGUAGAAUUCCACGUGUAGCAGUG